UACGUAGGGGGCGAGCGUUGUUCGGAAUCACUGGGCGUAAAGCGCACGCAGGCGGAUCGUUAAGUCAGGGGUGAAAUCCCGAGGCUCAACCUCGGAACUGCCUUUGAUACUGGCGAUCUUCGAGUCCGGGAGAGGUGAGUGGAACUCCGAGUGUAGAGGUGAAAUUCGUAGAUAUUCGGAAGAACACCAGUGGCGAAGGCGGCUCACUGGCCCGGUACUGACGCUCAGGUGCGAAAGCGUGGGGAGCAAACAGG
rnacentral:rRNA from 1 species